rnacentral:lncRNA from 1 species
UAUUAAGUCUGUUGAAAACAAAUGUACGAUCAACAAUGAACAACGACAGGUUAUCAUCGCUAGCAUUACUGCAUAUUGAUCGGGAUUUCAGUGUGAAUGUUGACAAAGUAAUAGAGAAGUUCGUUUCUGCUUAGACCCGAAGAGCAGAUUUUGGUCAAUGUUGAGUAAAUUCUGUAAUUCAAAAAUGUGUUGUUUAUGUAUUAAAUUAACCAUGAUUUACUCUAUUCAGAAGAUUCAAGUAUUAAUAGUUUUACGUUCAUAAAUUGUUUAUAAGUCCUAUUUACA